rnacentral:rRNA from 1 species
GACGAACCGAGCGAACGUUGUUCGGAAUCACUGGGCUUAAAGGGCGCGUAGGCGGGUGCUCAAGUCCGGGGUGAAAUCCCACAGCUCAACUGUGGAACUGCCUCGGAUACUGGGCGUCUCGAGUGUGGUAGGGGUAUGCGGAACUAUCGGUGGAGCGGUGAAAUGCGUUGAUAUCGAUAGGAACUCCGGUGGCGAAGGCGGCAUACUGGACCACCACUGACGCUGAGGUGCGAAAGCGUGGGGAGCAAACAGG